ensembl:lncRNA
AAGGAAAUUAUUUUCAAACAAACUUUUCUCAUGUAACACUCUUUAUCUUGAAAGAUACAUAAAAUAAUCUUUCACAUAAAAUAAAUAAAUGUAACACACAUGAAAAGACUAGAUUUUGGUUUUAUUUAGUUUGGAAGUAUAUGCAUAUUUAAGUAGAUGGAGCCUCAUUUACAUCAAUGUACAUUUAUGAAAAGUUCAUUCAUUCAUGUUUAUUAUCCUACACAGGGUUGGUGGACACUGGAGCCUAUCCCAGGGGACUUGGGCACAGGUGGGGGACACCCUGGCUGCCAACCCAUUGCAGGGCACAAUCGCACACACACUCAUACACCCUAGCACACACUAUGGACAAUUUAGAAAUGCCAAUCAGUGUACAACACAUGUCUUUGGACUGGGGAGGAAACCAGAGUACCCAGAAGAAACCCCUGAACCACAGGGAGAACAUGCAAACUCCAUGCAUACAGGGUGCAGGUGUUUUCAACAGGCAUGUGUUGAAUUGAGUGCUAGGUGGAACAAGAAUGCAACACAAA